rnacentral:rRNA from 1 species
GAUGAACGCUGGCGGCGUGCCUAAUACAUGCAAGUCGAGCGAACAGACGAGGCGCUUGCUCCUCUCACGUUAGCGGCGGAGGGGUGAGUAACACGUGGAUAACCUACCUAUAAGACUGGGAAAACUUCGGGAAACCGGCGCUAAUACCGUAUAAUAUAUUGAACCGCAUGGUUCGAUAGUGAAAGACGGUUUUGCUGUCACUUCUCGAUGGUUCCGCGCCUCAUGGGCUAGUUGGUAAGGUAACGGCUUACCAAGGCAACGAUGCGUAGCCGACGUGAGAGAGUGAUGGGCGACACGGGAACUGAGACGCGGUCAAGACGCCUACGGGAGGCAGCAGUAGGGAAUCUGCCGCAGUGGGGGAAAGCCUGACGGAGCAGCGCCAAGUGAGUGAUGAAGGUCUUCGGAUCGUAAUACUGUGUUAUUAGGGAAGAACAAAUUUGUAAGUAACUAUGCAGGUCUUGACGGUACCUAAUCAGAAAGCCACGGCUAACUACGUG